UCUGCCUGUCCCACCCUUGGUACACCCCGGGUGUGAAGGAUGCUGAGGUGUAAACAGUGAAGUGGAAAGUGGACAGUGUGGACAGGGAAGCAAACCUCAGAAGGGUAGCAAAUCAGUUAUCUUGGAGAACGGAUAUGGUCUUAGGAAGCAGAUUAAAAAACUCAAGCAAGAGUCCCAGAAAACCUGGAAGGCACAUAAUUAAAGAGAAUACAAACCUGAGGCUGAAGCAAGGUGGACGCAUUGUCCAGGCUGGUCUGUCAUAAAAUCAUAAUAUGCAAACAGUACUAAGUGGUGGAACACCUUCUAAUUGCCAGAAGCUGUACCUUAGAACGAAUGUUAAUGCUCACAGCCACCCUGAAGUGGAAUCAUCUGUGUCAGAGCUGCUCCUGAUGGCCUCUCCCAGAUCACAGACUUGGGGCGUCAGCACAGGCAGGGGGAGGGGACCCCACACUGUGCCGUCAGACCACACCAGCUGCCACCCACGCUCCCACAUACCAUCACCGCCCUGUCUAAAAGUCCCCAUUCUCCUAAAAAACAGCAGGACUUAGAGGCACAGGGAUGCAAAAGUCACUUUCCAAGAAGAG